GUCACAUAAACAAGCCUCUACGUGGCGUGACUAGAAACGUAUUUUAUAAUACGGCUAAUUGUUUAA
rnacentral:ribozyme from 1 species